UAUGUCCUAUCAGCUUGUUGGUGGGGUAACAGCCUACCAAGGNAAUGACGGGUAGCCGACCUGAGAGGGUGACCGGCCACACUGGGACUGANACACUGCCCAGACUCCUACGGGAGGCUGCAGUCGAGAAUCUUCCGCAAUGGGCGAAAGCCUGACGGAGCGACGCCGCGUGCAGGAUGAAGGCCUUCGGGUUGUAAACUGCUGUCCUAGGUUAANAAACGUUUAGGUGUCAAUAGCANCUAGACUUGACAAAGGCC
rnacentral:rRNA from 1 species